CCCUUUUCCAAUUAGUUAUUUAUUUGAGUAAAAGACAGCAUCUAUCCUCCCUGUCACAUCGUGCUACUGCAUGAGAAGAGCUGAAGGUACACCAUAACUUCCAGUGAAUUCAUGUCCUGGAUGUAUGUUUGUUUGUUUCUAGAGGCUCAUAUCGGCCAGCAUAACAGUUGUAUACUUUCCAAACUGAUCUGGAGACUGACAUCAUUUAGAGUCUGAAGGCCUCAUAAAACAAAUAUUCACUGAACAUCUACUUGAGGCAGUGUGCCCUGCCAGAGGGAGAUGGGAAAGAAUGACAGGGUUUUAACCUCACUGAGUCUCUGGAAAAGGAAUUGUACUAGCCUUCAGGAAAGAAAGUGCAUAUGCAUCCCUGGAACAGUACAUUGUGAAACUAUGGAAUUACCAAAACUACAGAACAAAUACUUCAGGAGCAGAGGCUCAAGUUUUCCUGUAAGUGAAGGCUGGCAUCAGGAGGUAGGAGAGCUGCUGCUUUCUGUCAAACUCUUCUUAGCUAAGCAACUUUUUGGCCCCACUCCUCUAUGUAUGGAGAGAACUAAAUAGAAACUACUGGAAAUGUCAUAGGGGAAGGGAAGUUUCUUAUUUACACGGUAUACAGGUUGGCAAAAAAAAAAAAACACACUGGAUAUAGAGCAAAUGCAUGUACAGUUUGUCAAGGUUUCCUUAGAAAUAUGUCAAGCAACUAGAUUGGAGAGCAAGGUUGUUUGUGAAUGUUCCCACAUUUUUAACUGAGGGGACCGUAUUGUCCAUACUUGGUCCACUCUGGGCCCUCAGAAUCUUCUUCAUAUUCAUGCAGACCUACGUUUUAUUUCAGGCUAGCCUAUUUUUUUAUUUUUCCUGACUGGUGGGUAAUGUAACUGUUGCUGGUCAUCAUUAACACUUUCAUAAUUCUCUUUCCUUCUUCUACAGUCCAAUAGGUUGAAAGUGAAUAAAUUGGGUGGAUCCAUUGUGAAUUAGGACUGA
rnacentral:lncRNA from 1 species